ACGGUUGGCGCCCUAUCCACCUCAGUCCCGUGACCCCCGGCGCCUCGAGGCCCGAGGGGAUUGUGCGAGUGCCGCGAUCGUUGCCCGUGUUGCAUACCCGAGCGUCCCCCUCCUCGGUCGAGGGGGAAAGGAUCGGCUUGCGACACCAUCGUCCCACGUCCGUCCGGCGCCUCGCAAGGGGCCCUUCGGAGGACCACGAAGUAGCUCCCGCGAUCCACCCGCGCGAUCCGAUCGGCGAGCUUGGCCCGCGGGUUGCCGUUGCUCCCUCGGAUGCGGUGCAUGCCGAGGACUCCCGGGGGCCCGUUCCCCGCACGUCCCGAACGAACGAUUCGUCCCGACCCGAUUCUCCAGAGAGACGCCCGCGGCCGUCGCCCCCGUGCGGCGGCGCGCGAGACGUCGCGGAGGGUUGCUACCUGGUUGAU
rnacentral:misc_RNA from 1 species